rnacentral:rRNA from 1 species
UACGUAGGUGGCUAGCGUUGUCCGGAUUUACUGGGCGUAAAGCGCGCGCAGGCGGUCGUUCAAGUCGAGUGUGAAAGCCCCCGGCUCAACUGGGGAGGGUCACUCGAUACUGAUCGACUUGAAGGCAGAAGAGGGAAGCGGAAUUCCCGGUGUAGUGGUGAAAUGCGUAGAUAUCAAGAGGAACACCUGAGGUGAAGACGGGUUGCUGGGCUGACACUGACGCUGAGGCGCGAAAGCCAGGGGAGCAAACGGG